GGGACAUGUAGGCAGUAUGAGAAGGGGUUGAUGGAAGCUUACUGACUGGUCAAGGCAGUGCAAGAAGUUUAACCUGUCUGGAAAUAUGGGGACAAGAACUGGAAAGGGCAGUCUGUGCAUGAAGAUUCCAGGAGAAGCCUGAUGAUGGAAAACCUUAAAAUCACAUCGAGUACAGAUGGGGUUUCACCAUGUUCGCCAGGAUGGUCUCGAUCUCCUGACCUCGUGAUCUGUCCACCUCUGCCUCCCAAAGUGCUGAGAUUACAGGCCAUGGAAGUUGAACCACUUUCAGACUAUGUCCUUGGCUUAUGGGGAGAUUUUUCUAAUCUCAGUUCAUUGGUACUUUCAAAGUUACUUCCGGAUUACAGUGCAUUCACUCCUGUCCUAUGAAGGUGUCCAGGUUAUUGGAUAAAACAAAAGUGUUAUGAUUUUAUAAAAGGAGACACAAGAGUAGAAGGACAAAGCUGACUCUUUCAUAGGAGAACUGGAAAAUAUGUAAAAUGGAAGGAAGACUGAUAUAACCCUAGAUUUAGUUAUUAUUUCAUCUGUCUACAUGGUAAUGCAAUAAAAAAUUGUGUCA
rnacentral:lncRNA from 1 species